UACGGGGGGGGCAAGCGUUGUUCGGAAUUACUGGGCGUAAAGGGCGCGUAGGUGGCCGACUAAGUCAGACGUGAAAUCCCUCGGCUUAACCGGGGAACUGCGUCUGAUACUGGAUGGCUUGAGUGUGGGAGAGGGAUGCGGAAUUCCAGGUGUAGCGGUGAAAUGCGUAGAUAUCUGGAGGAACACCGGUGGCGAAGGCGGCAUCCUGGACCACGACUGACACUGAAACGCGAAAGCCAGGGGAGCAAACGGG
rnacentral:rRNA from 1 species